rnacentral:rRNA from 1 species
UCUUUUUAUUGUGUGCCAGCAGCCGCGGUAAUACGGAAGGUCCGGGCGUUAUCCGGAUUUAUUGGGUUUAAAGGGAGCGUAGGCCGGAGAUUAAGCGUGUUGUGAAAUGUAGAUGCUCAACAUCUGCACUGCAGCGCGAACUGGUUUCCUUGAGUACGCACAAAGUGGGCGGAAUUCGUGGUGUAGCGGUGAAAUGCUUAGAUAUCACGAAGAACUCCGAUUGCGAAGGCAGCUCACUGGAGCGCAACUGACGCUGAAGCUCGAAAGUGCGGGUAUCGAACAGG